GGCUGUCCCUGAGAAGUGACCAGGCAUUCAGAACCACUCUCCAGUUGAGAGCAGCUCCCCCAGGUUGGUGACGUGUGGAGAACUCAGCCCACGGUUUAAGGCCCAGGCACUUGGUUGCUGGGUUUUCUUUUCCUUCGUGUUUAUCACGCAAACAAAUGAGCACUGUAUUUCAUUGUUAAAAAUCUAAUUUCUAAGUUGUUAAAGAUGAAAUUGCUCUCAUAAGAAAGGUCUUGGUUAAUAUCCGAUUUCUCUUGCUAGCGUGGCAAAGAAAAACAAAUUCUAAUUAUUUCAAGACUUUAGGGAAAAUAUUUCCUAUGUAAUAAACACCACAGGUUUGCUCAUUCGAAUGUAUUGGGGUGGAAACUGAUUUCUUGGUGAAAGAGCAAUUGCUCAUUGUAGACAAGUGGCAGCAGUCAUUGUCAAAUCCACAUUUUUUCCUUUGUAAACUGAAUGGUCCUGGCUAGGAGUGAUACAAACUUGAAAUGGCAUUGCCUGAGGCAAAUAAUACCCUGUCUAAUGUAUUUGAUUUUGCAAAGAUAACAAGCUGAGUUACAUUUCUGCUUUCAGUUAUAUUAAUGGUUCAAGAAAAGGGAAGAUAAGAAACUGAAACAGAUUAUUAAAUCUGCCUUUUAUUCUAGUAUCACUUAAGGUAAAAGCUAGUGAUGCCUUAAGGAAAUCUUUGGGGAAAAAAAAAAAAAAGUAGUAUUUAGUGCUUUAUGCAGAAAAAAUAGAAUAUAUAAUGUAUUUUUGUUAGAUUUACAGCUAUCGGGCAUUUUGGUAGAGCAUUUGGUUAAAUACCUAAUGAAUAAUUCAUAGUCACUAAUUUAUGAGCCCUGUCAUAUAGACUAAAAGCCAACUUUCAAGGCCUCAGACAAAGAGAAUAAAUACAUAGCAUUUAGCGAAACUCCGACCAAACUGGGAAGUCAGCGGGGUGGGAAGGAGUGCUGUGAUACGGCUGUGAGCGUGUGAAGGGCAUCGGCUCUGGGCUGAGAGGGGGAAUGAUUUAAUUCCAGCGGAUUUUUAAUUGCCAAUAUUAAAAUUUCCCACCGAGAGCAGGAAGCCUGUUUUAUUGGCAGAACUGCCGCUCCGUGGGCAGAAGCCUUCUGCUGGAAGUGGUCGAUGGAGGACCUCUGCACCCGCGCUCCGUAACGCCAUGCGGUGCUUCUGAUGAACUUCACAUCUUAUGCCUUUGGACGCUGUACUUCUGCCAGCCUGCUACAGAAAUGGGAAACAAAAGAAGAGGCAGGUUUCCCUGAUGAGCUCGCAGUCUUAAUUAACGAGACUUAACAAAAACAAUUACCGCAGACAAAGGUUAAAAAGAGAUAAGACAGAUAAAAGCAAAUCUCAAACAGGGACAAGAAUGCAAGCUGCGACUUUAAUGUUGAAGAGUACUUUGCCUCCACGUAGAACAGAAGGCUUUAAUACAAAUGCUUUUCCAGUGCUGCAAAUGGCCUAUUUUCAUGCCACAUCUCUUGAUCUACAUUUCAGAAAUUUAAAUUUCAAAGCCGAAUACAGCAUUUCAGAGACAUAAAGAGCAGUUCGUGGCAACAUAUGCUCUUCACCUUUCCAAGUAGACGUGCUUUGAAGGAACUUUGGGUUUAAAGUAAUACAGCGAUCUCUAAAAACAGCAGCAUGGCGCAAUUGGAAAUAACGUUAUUUUUCCCUUUCAGCGUGACCCAAGUGCAAGCAAUCAUCUGAUAUUCCCCAUUUGACACAAAGGCCCUGGGCUGGGAAUCCUGCAGCUGGUAACAAUUGAGUGGAUAUGGCUACUUUAAGGGAGAACUCUUCACAGAAAUUACCCGUCAUUUCAUCUUGGUGAAAAGAAAUAGCAAUGAUCACUUAAAGUUUCAGAGCUGUUUAGUACUCUUCAGUCAGCUUUUUCUUUGGCAGACAUCUCCUUCAAGUAACUUCUGUUGAUUGUGCUGGCACAAUUGUGCUUCUGUGGUCCAAUUUGUGUAUUCCUCUGUCAGAGGCGGUAUAGACGUGUCUUUGUGGUCACCUGGCCUUGAGUAGCUCUUGCCGAAUCUGCUGGGAUCUGGGAACAGGGCAACUGCGGCUCUGAGGGUUUUGUCGUGUUGAAAAAUUGAUCUUUGCAGCUUCUCACAGCUGAAUUGGAUUUGGCUUCAUGCACAAAAGUUAAAUUGAUGGGAUAACUAUGGCUGGUUUUGUCACCCAUAACUCUUGCCUAGAGCAGGAUAUUAAAAAGGACAAAGGAAUUAAAAACAAAACUGCUACUGACUGUGCAUUUUUAUUUGACUUUCUUAAUGUUAGGUGAUUGUUGACAGAGAUUAUUCAGGCAGAUUGGGUUUGUGCUAUAGUUUAAAUUAAGCCAUUGUGUUCUUACUUAGCAUGCAGAAAAGAUCCUUCCAAAUUUUGAAAAGGUCACUGCUGUUAAUCAUUUCAGAAAGGCAAUAAAAUAUUCCAGUAAUGACUCAACUGAAAAGAAUAACCAAGAUUAAAAACUUAUUAGUGCUUAAUAAAUACAAGCGUAUAACGGGGCAUGCUGAAGAGAAGCUGCCGUAUUCAGAUGAAAGACUCUUGGUGAGAGUGUUUGCAGUGGCAGCUAGUUCUGGUAACUCGCAUCGUCAGCCCUCGUGGCAAAGCCAAGCCCCUUAUGAGGUGCUUUUUCCCCCUCAUCUCUCCCUGGAAGUCUGUGGAUCCUUACUAAAGAGAAGUACCUUUAUGGAUGCACAAACAGAAUAGAUGUAAGUAAUCCUUUCCUGAACCGGUGGGGCUGAGCUGUUUUGAUUGCUGUGACAUGUGCGGGCCUCCUGCUGCUCCGCUUGGAUUUACGUUGCAUGCAGAAGAUUAAUCUCUAGGUCAUCACAUUUAAGUCUUUUGAG